AAAUACGAAUAUUAAUGGUGUUGUUGUUAUUGUUGGUUGUGGUGGUGGUGGUAUUGCAAUUCGGAGUUAUUAAUAGUAUUGGCGCUGCUUGCAAGUGGUGUUGAUGAUGUUGCAGAUAUCGAAGGUGUUGGCAGUAGUUAUUGUGGUGGUGGUUUUGUAGUAGUAGUAGUAGUAGUAGUAGUGGUGAUGAUGGUGGUGUGGUGGUGGUGGUAGUAGUAGUGGUAGUGGCAUUAGUAUUUACAGUGGUUGUGGCAUUAGUGGUAGCAAUGGUAGCAGUGUUACUAGUAGUGUUUGUGUUGUUUCUAAUAGUAGUAGUAGUAGUAGUGCUGGUGGUGGUGGUGGUGGUGGUUAUAGUAUUGGUGGUAGUGGCCGGUAGUGGUCGUUCCACUCCUGUAUGUGUGUCUAACACCUUCACAUAACUCUACAUUCCAUAAACGUCUGUCUGUCUCUCUCUCUCUCUCUCUCCAAACAAUAUCACAGUUCCCUAAACAAAUUCUUUCUUUCAGUUUUACGUAAAUCAGGAUCAGAAUGGCAUCGAUUCAAUUUUGCUGUUCAAAUUUGGUCACAUGGUGUAUGUGUUUGCUCACGUGGUCUAUCUUUGGUCACGUGGUGGUAAUGGUGAAGGGUCGGAGCAGUUAGAUAUUCGGGGUGACCGUAGUAGCAUCUUCCUUGGCAGACGGACCUUGCCGUCAUGCUGUUGUCAUUGCUGCUGCUGCUGCUGUUAAUUUUGUUGUUGUUGUUGUUGUUGUUGUUGUUGUUGUUGUUGUUGCUGCUGCUGUGCUUGUUUUUGUUGCUGUUGUUGCGCUUUACAUUGUUGUUGUUGCUGUUUGGUUCUCUUGUCUGGUUCUCGCUGUAGUUGUUGCACUGAUUGGCAUUGUUUGUGUUGUUGUUGUUGUUGCUGUUGCUGAUAUUGC